ACAGUUACCUGGUAGGGGAAAUGCUAUGGUUAGGAAGGUAGUUUUCCUUGUGAGGUUCAGCCUUUGCACUCUGGGUUUGCUGAGUCCUGUGAUUUCCGCAAGUGUGGAAAACAUGACUGCAAUUUGUGGGAGUGGUCUUUCUUAGCUCAAGGUUUAGUCCAU
rnacentral:snRNA from 1 species